rnacentral:rRNA from 1 species
ACGCACGCUGGCGGCGUGCUUAACACAUGCCAGUCGCACGGAAAGGCCCUGCUUUUGUGGGGUGCUCGAGUGGCGAACGGGUGAGUAACACGUGAGUAACCUGCCCUUGACUUUGGGAUAACUUCAGGAAACUGGGGCUAAUACCGGAUAGGAGCUCCUGCUGCAUGGUGGGGGUUGGAAAGUUUCGGCGGUUGGGGAUGGACUCGCGGCUUAUCAGCUUGUUGGUGGGGUAGUGGCUUACCAAGGCUUUGACGGGUAGCCGGCCUGAGAGGGUGACCGGCCACAUUGGGACUGAGAUACGGCCCAGACUCCUACGGGAGGCAGCAGUGGGGAAUAUUGCACAAUGGGCGGAAGCCUGAUGUAGCAACGCCGCGUGCGGGAUGACGGCCUUCGGGUUGUAAACCGCUUUCGCCUGUGACGAAGCGUGAGUGACGGUAAUGGGUAAAGAAGCACCGGCUAACUACGUG